GAGACCGGAGGCCGCUACUGCCUUACAAGGCUGCCGAAGGCACCGCCGGCCUAUGGACGCGGCUCGACCCAGGGCGCGGUCGUCUGUGGAGCUGUGGAGCGUGGGAACUGGGUGGAGGUUGGGGAAGAGCGAGUGGGGCACACCUGGCCCUGGGGCGCCGGGCGUGCGUACAGUCACAAGAGGGGAAGCUGAGGCUGGUGGCGAAGUCGCAGCUUUCACUGAGCUUGUGAUUCCUACCUGGCGCCCACCGAGAGCUUGCUUGAUGCGUGUGAUGAGCUGCUGGCCGCUCCGGCUACCUGUAUGAGAAAGAUCCUGAGAGUCUCUGCUGAUUUUCCUUCUUCCUUCUAGGGAUGCUUGCCACGGGAUCUCUACCCUGCUGACUCUGUGGUGAGGUCAUGGCCGCACUGCCUCAGUAGAAGGUGACUCUACAGAAGAUUAUGGGGUUGGUAAGGUGGUGCACAGCGGGUCUGGAGGCAGAGGCGUUGGUGCAACAGACUCCGUAGUCCUCCAGGUUGUUCAGCCUCUGACUUCAACUGAGGAGCCUCUAGAGAAGUCAACCCAAAGAGGGGUGGGGUGGGGGGCAGUGGUGGGUGUCUGACAAAUUAACUAACUCUCGAGGUAACCUUGCUCCAAAACUUCAAAACGAGACCCACCUGGGCACUUGGAGCAAUUUUCCCCUUCCCCGUGGUGGUCUCUGACCCCUCAAUCCCUCAGACUCCCUGCUAUCUUCAGCUACUCAAAAAUGACUAAAAGUCACUUGUAAUUCUUGCCCUCCUGCCAAAUCCCACUAUAGAAGUCACAGGACUGUGGGGGUGUGAGGAAUGGAGAACCAGACCCAGGCCCUCUUCUGUCACUCAGCUCUUCCUUAUGCGGUCCUAGCUUGGCCGCUUGUCUUAUAUCCCAAGCCCUGUCAUCCCCUGGAAAUCAAAAUGUAAGCAAAGUGCUGAAAACUGGCAUUCAUUGUUAUGUUCCUACUAGCAUAUUUUCAAAAGGUGACUACUCUCUAAUUUUGUUUAUUGUGUGUGUGUAUAUGCCUGCUGGUCAGUACAUGCACCACGCGCAAGCCCUCAUAGACCAGAUUGGUCUGUUAGGUGCCUUAAAACUGGAGUUACAGGUAGUUGUGAAAUGCUCAAUGUGGGUGCUGGGAACCAGACCCAGGCCCUCUGCAGGUUUGUAUCAAUUUGUAUCAAUAUUAUAAAGUUCUGGAGGACCUGCUGUUAACAACCAUGGUCCAAGACGUCAGCUUGAUGGGCCUUAGGGUUGGGAUUGGGUCUUCUACCUGACCCUCCUACAGCAUUGCAGCUGCUGAACCCUCACAGAUCUCAUCUGCAGACAGCCUGUACAGGGGACCUGCAUCAGAUCUGUGUGAAAGUGCCUCUGGUGAGCAUCCCUCAUAGGGACCCAGCAAAACACCCCUGCUGGGAUGAUGAUGGGCCCUCAAACUCACUACAUUUGGAACCUCAAAAGUGUGACCUAUACGUAAACAGGGUCUUGGUCUGGGGGGCAUAAUUCCAUGGAAAAGGCUUCUUCCUACCAGAAUUUCCAGGACCACAACAAAGGUGAGGAGUGUCUGCAUAUGAAAUUAAUGUCUGUAUCUUCAGUUGAAACCUUGUCCUAGAUCAUCCUAGUGGACCCUAAAUUCAGUAACGAAUGUGUGUCCACGUGACCCCGACAGUAUCAGAGCACCUAAGCAGACCACUGCGUGCAGGUCUGGGUUUCCAGAGAUGCAAAUGCUGCAGACCAAGGGAGGGCCGCAGCAGUCCAUGAAGAACCUGCUACAGGAGUCCCCAUCACGGUCACACAGAGACCGGAGGAGCCUACUAGGUGUAGUCCUAGUGGGCUUGGAAAUGCAGCCCACUGUGGGGGAGCGACUGGUACCUCAGGGUCGCUAAGAGGACAGCUCCAGGGAUUUGUUACGGCCCAACAGGAGGCUUUGUUGACAGCCUUUGUGUCUCUCUGAAAUCCUGAGGUAGGAUUUCCCUAGCCUGGAGCUAUAUGUCUCCCAAGCCAAAUCACAUCUCUUUGUGGGUAUAAGCAGGCAGGUGUGGUAGACCCUAUAUAUGUAGCUCCCUAGUCCUUGCCAUCAUUGUGGGGACCAAGCAGGCUGGUGACAUGGGUGGAAGGGGCCAAGGCUCAACAAUAAAAGAACACUAAAGGCAAAGGCUGCCUCUGGGUGGGUUAGAGCCUCGCUGGCCAUGGAGUUGGGUCCUGCUUUCCAAGCACACACAGGGAUGUGUUCAGGCCUCAAACCAAGACGGUUCCCAGAAAGUGCUAAGGGUAGCUGGGCUGUGGAGUGCGGGGGGCUGUCCUGAGGAUGAGGGACUGUGGGAUGCUCUUACUAUUGGGGAAAGCUUGGCAUAUUUCAAAGCAUCAUGGACAGAUGUGGCCGCUACUGGAGAUGCCAGGGAGCCCCCACCAAUGGUGCUCACUGGCAAUGGGCCAUGAGCAGGUUUCAGCCCCUCUGUGGCUGUCAAACAUGAGCUAAGCCUGGCAGCUAGACUGAAACCAGGGGUCUCAUGGCUCUGGGGCCUGCGUCGAGGUUAAACUCCAAGGGAAGAGAGGUGUGCCUAACCUUGGGGCCCUGCCACCCCUCUGCUCAGUGUGAUGCUGGUAGUGUCCUCCAACCUGCACACGACCUGAAGAUGGCAACGUGUUCUUCCUGUGUACCACUUACACUUUUCUACCCACAUGGGGUCACAUUUAGAGACCCUGAAGCAAGGCCCUGCUUUGAGCCUCCACUUAAUUUCUGUCCAGCACUGCUCCAUGCAGAGAGCUUGUCUAGAGUCACAGGCAGGGUCAGGUGGUCACUGAGCUGCAAUGUAGCCCAGCCAAAGUGUCACAGAAAAUUCUAUUAACAGGUGAGCUUCUCCAAGCCUGGGAUUCUGUUGACUGCCCCCCUUACCAGCCACAGUAAUACUCUAGUUGACUUUGACCCCCAGAAAUCCCAUCUGAGACAGAGAGAAAGCACAUUGGAGGCAGCUUGGCCCACAGAGAACACAGAGCUGGGCAAGUGGCCCUCCCACUGGGAGGCAUCUGAGCCAGACUGACAAGGUCUUCUCACCUUGCCAGAGGUUCUCACUGAACUUCUUCAUGACAAAGUUACAUUUCUAUAUUUCUCACUUAUGAAAAACAUUUAUACAGUCUAUUAACUAAAUUAUCACAUGUUGUUUUUCAGCUAUAACUCUACAAAUUUAGUAUUAAAAUGUUUCAAGUUUUAAGAACCUGAAGUUUUGCUUCUUUUGGCUGAAAACAUUCUUGACCAUACAGCCUCAAGGCUGUGCAUAGUGUCCCUCUCCACAAGAGAUAACUCAGCUUGUGGGGAUUACAUUUGUAACCAUGAAAGAAACCUAUGGAGACAAAAUGUGGCUCAGGUGGGCUGUAGACAUCCAUCCUGCUACAAAAAAGUUGUCAAGAGCUUCUUUCUUCCAGGGUGCACACACUGAAAUUUGCCUAUGCAGCUUUGUCCUGGGAUUCCAGUACCCUGGUCAACAGUAGGAUCUCAGCCCAAUGGAAGAUGCGAUCCAAAUGGAGCUACAGUAACCUGUUGUGGUCAGGAAGUCUCCAUCCCUGCAGGAGGGGGCACUGUCAUCCAGCUCCUCCUUUCCUACUAAGCCCAUAGCAGUGAUACAGAGAAUGCCAUCUUUGUACUCUACCCCAUGUGGUGGACAUCUACUACGUCCUGACAAAAGAUCACCCACCUUCCUGUGUACAGAGAGGGAGGACAGUACUGAAGGCCCCAUUGUAUAAAGUGUGUGGUUCACAGCCCACCCAAUAACAGAAGGAGCCUGAGUGUGUCUGAGCAAUGUUUUGCUCAUGAGCAAUAUUUAUAAAGACGUGUAGUCUUUAUUAAGACACGUGAAUAACUGUCGCAAAGGGCCUCCCAGCAAGAUGGAGUUAUCUCUUCCUAUGAAAUAACACAAAACAGAUGUCUGAAAGCAAGACAGCAAAGGACUACAGUCUCUGAAAGAUGAACACCUAACUCUAAAAGCUACACUAUGUGGAUUAGAGUGGAACCCCAGGCAGUGAUCUCCAUGUAGAGAAAGCCAUGAGACCUGAAGAGGGAAUGCCAUAAAGUCCUUCAAAUGUUCAGCUGAGCACAGAUCUCAAAGGGAAAAGCAUCUAAUCCUGAAGACAAGAGCAUGUCAGAGACAGCAGGGCUAGGACAGACCUCUCUCUGACAAGUCAGGAGGCUUAAAACUCAGGGUCACUAAAACUGAACUGCACGAGUGUGUGAUUUCACACAGGAACAGUCACCCCUGAAUGAGCACCACUCUGGUCUUAUCCAAAAUUUAAUAACGAGGUACAAAAAGACCAAACUUUUUGUUUGUUUGUUUGUUGUUUUUGUUUUUUGAGGCAGGGUUUCUCUGUAUUGUUUUGGAGGCUGUCCUGGAACUCUCUCGGUAGACCAGGCUUGGUCUCGAACUCACAGAGAUCUGCCUGCCCCUGCUUCCCGAGUGCUGGGAUUAAAGGCGUGUGCCACCAGCGCCCAGCAAGACCAAACUUUUUAAACAUAUCACAGAAUAAUAAUACAGAAUAUAGAAAUAAUUAACUCCAAGAAAAGGUAAGCUUCACAUAUUAGGCAAAACAGCAAGAAAAUUUGACCCAUAAUUAAGACACAAACCAAUUUCCCGAUCCUAGAUAAGCAUAACAGCAUUUUUAAAAUAUCUUAACUAUUUCCUCCUAUUAGGAAAAUACAACAAUCCAAUUUAAUGUCUAGAGGUGAAACUGUGUGCAUAUGAUGAAUACACUGGAUAAUAAAGUAGAUUUUCAGGACAGAAAGAUCGUCCAUGUGAGGCCAGAGUUAUAUCAACUUUUCACAAGGAAAAGAGGAGGAGACCUGGAUGAUCACUUGGGUGAUAUGGGGUUUCGGAAGAAAAGCAAAGCAAGGUGGACAGUUAUGUAGUUGUCCUCUGGCCCAAAUGCACACACACACACACACACACACACACACACACACACACACACACACACACACACACACACACACCAGACCGCAGAGACAAAGACACAGCCAGAGAAUAUGCAAGAAAAUGGAUAUAAAUGCAUUAUAGUACACUGUUAAAUGGAAAUCUUUAAAGUAUCCAUGGAAAGGAAGUAAAGCCCUGACCUGGACCUGGACAUCAGGUAAGAAAGUCUGUACCAUGACAGCUACCAGAGACGGGCUCAUGGUGUGGGUCCUGCCCACACGCCUGUGCUCAGACGCUGAACCUGCCUACAUAUAUUGUUUCUCACAUGACAUCCACACGCUCACAAAAAACUAUGUCCCUAAUACAUGCUCAUGAAUAAAUUUCAACACUGUAACAGCAGUCAGCUACAAAUACCCUCUGUCUCCCUUCCCAAAUGGCACUGUACAAUCACCUGAACAGCUGAGGGGGGUACAGUCCAUGACACUGUUUUCCUCUGUACGUUCCCACUACAGUACAAACUGAAGACAAACAGAUUAAAAUUAUCAUUAUCCUUUAUCCCAGGCAACAUGAUCCAAAAUAUAUAAAAACUAAUAAACCAAGGUUAUAGAGGAAAUAGUAUACAGAACUCAAUUUAUAUUUGCAUAUAUUAAGUCAAAAGCAAUAUAUUAUUACAAAAUUAUUCAGCUCAUAAUAUCAUUGAAAACAAUGAAGUUAGCCAGGCAGUAGUGGUAGUAAACGCCUUUAAUACCAGCACUUGGGGGUCAGAGGCAGGCAGAUCUCUGUGUGUUCCAGACCAGCCUGGUUUACAAGAGCUAGUUCCAGGACAUCCUCCAAAACUACACAGAGAAACCCUAUCUCAAAAGACAAAAAGAACAAAAGAAAACAAUGAAUUUAACAAAACUGGCACAAAAUUUGUAUAUAACUUAAAAAGAUAGUUGCUCAGAGAAAUGAGACAUCUAUUUAUGGUUUAUGGAUUAGAACACAAAAUAUUGUUAAAAUUGUAGACCUCCCACAUUCCCUAUUGAAUCCUCUUUAGGCUUUUUAAAAGUGAACCUGAGCGGUUGGUCCUAAAGGAUAUAUGGGAAUUUAUAGUGCCCAAAAUGAUUCUGAGUAUAAGUCAAGGACACAAGAAUUCCAAUUCCCUACAUUGCCACCAAUAUUUGAUAUUUUUCUGGGUUUUAUUAUUUUUUAAAUAUGUAAUCACCCUAGUGGGUGAGAGAUGGUAUCUUGUCAUAAUUUUAAAAUAACUUUUGUUGAUCUUGUUCUGUGUGAGUGUCAUACAUGUAAUUCUGAUUAUUGUAACUCCCCCCUUUUAGUCUCCCUUUUUUUCUAGCUGACCUUGAAAUCAAUAACCCCCAUGCCUCAUAAUUGUUUUUUAGUAUCUUAAGACAAUUCUACAUUUCUGGAAUAAACUUUAAUCGGCUGUGGCAUGUAA